rnacentral:lncRNA from 1 species
UUUUGCCAACUUAUUGUCACACAAGAAUAAAUACGCCACAUCAAAUAUUGGCACGCCAUAUUAGCCUAGAAUUUGGCCGAAAUUUGGAUUAGUAGCAAAAUCAGAUAAAAUCAAAAGUUUAGUAAUUAUCACGCCACAGUUUAAAGUUUGUGUGCAAAACCAGAAUUGGAUGAAAGUUUAGUAUUUUAUGGGCAAUUAA